GACGAACGCUGGCGGCGUGCUUAACACAUGCAAGUCGAACGGAAAGGCCCUGCUUUUGUGGGGUGCUCGAGUGGCGAACGGGUGAGUAACACGUGAGUAACCUGCCCUUGACUUUGGGAUAUCUUCAGGAAACUGCGGCUAAUACAGGAUAGGAGCUCCUGCUGCAUGGUGGGGGUUGGAAAGUUUCGGCGGUUGGGGAUGGACUCGCGGGUUAUCAGCUUGUUGGUGGGGUAGUGGCUUACCAAGGCUUUGACGGAUAGCCGGCCUGAGAGGGUGACCGGCCACAUGGGGACUAAGAUAGGGACCAGACGCCUACGGGAGGCAGCGGGGGAGAGUAUUACACAAUGGGCGGAAGCCUGUGACAACGGCGCCGCGAGCGGGAUGCCGGCCUACGGGUUGUAAACCGCUGUCGCCUGUGACGUAGCUUGAUUGACGGUAAUGAGUAAAGAAGCACCGGCUAACUACGUG
rnacentral:rRNA from 1 species